UACAGAGGUCUCAAGCGUUGUUCGGAUUCAUUGGGCGUUAAGGGUGCGUAGGUGGCGCCAUAAGUCGGGUGUGAAAUUUCGGAGCUUAACUCCGAAACUGCAUUCGAUACUGUGGUGCUUGAGGACUGGAGAGGAGACUGGAAUUCAUGGUGUAGCAGUGAAAUGCGUAGAGAUCAUGAGGAAGACCAGUGGCGAAGGCGGGUCUCUGGACAGUUCCUGACACUGAGGCACGAAGGCUAGGGGAGCAAACGGG
rnacentral:rRNA from 1 species